rnacentral:rRNA from 1 species
GUUUGAUCCUGGCUCAGGACAAAACGGUGGCGGCGUGCUUAACACAUGCAAGUCGAACGGGGACUAUUGGGGGGGCAACCCUCCGAUAGUUCUAGUGGCGAACGGGUGAGUAACACGUGAGAAAUCUACCCUUUAGACUGGGACAACCCGCCGAAAGGUGGGCUAAUACCAGAUGUGGUGCCCGGGUGAAACCCCCGGGCAUUAAAGGAUGGCUGAGGCUUGCAAGCUAUCGCUAAAGGAUGAGCUCGCGCCUGAUUAGCUAGUUGGCGGGGUAAUGGCCCACCAAGGCGACAAUCAGUAGCCGGCCUGAGAGGGCGUACGGCCACACUGGAACUGAGACACGGUCCAGACUCCUACGGGAGGCAGCAGUGGGGAAUAUUGCACAAUGGGCGGAAGCCUGAUGCAGCAACGCCGCGUGCGGGAUGACGGCCUUCGGGUUGUAAACCGCUUUCAGCAGGGACGAAGCGUGAGUGACGGUACCUGCAGAAGAAGCACCGGCUAACUACGUGCCAGCAGCCGCGGUGAUACGUAGGGUGCGAGCGUUGUCCGGAUUUAUUGGGCGUAAAGAGCUUGUAGGCGGUUGGUUGCGUCGAAAGUGCAAACUCAGGGCUUAACUCUGAGCCUGCUUUCGAUACGGGCUGACUGGAGGAAGGUAGGGGAGAAUGGAAUUCCCGGUGGAGCGGUGGAAUGCGCAGAUAUCGGGAGGAACACCAGUGGCGAAGGCGGUUCUCUGGACCUUUCCUGACGCUGAGAAGCGAAAGCGUGGGGAGCAAACAGGCUUAGAUACCCUGGUAGUCCACGCUGUAAACGGUGGGUACUAGGUGUGGGGGACAUUCCACGUUCUCUGUGCCGUAGCUAACGCAUUAAGUACCCCGCCUGGGGAGUACGGCCGCAAGGCUAAAACUCAAAGGAAUUGACGGGGCCCCGCACGAGCGGCGGAGCGUGCGGAUUAAUUCGAUGCAACGCGAAGAACCUUACCUGGGUUUGACAUAUAUCGGAAACGUUCAGAGAUGGGCGCCCCGUAAGGUCGGUAUACAGGUGGUGCAUGGCUGUCGUCAGCUCGUGUCGUGAGAUGUUGGGUUAAGUCCCGCAACGAGCGCAACCCUCGUCCAAUGUUGCCAGCGGGUUAUGCCGGGGACUCAUUGGAGACCGCCGGGGUCAACUCGGAGGAAGGUGGGGAUGACGUCAAGUCAUCAUGCCCCUUAUGUCCAGGGCUUCACGCAUGCUACAAUGGCCGGUACAAAGAGUUGCGAGCCUGUGAGGGUGAGCGAAUCCCAAAAAGCCGGUCUCAGUUCGGAUUGGGGUCUGCAACUCGACCCCAUGAAGUCGGAGUCGCUAGUAAUCGCAGAUCAGCAACGCUGCGGUGAAUACGUUCCCGGGCCUUGUACACACCGCCCGUCAAGUCACGAAAGUUGGUAACACCCGAAGCCAGUGGCCCAACCCGCUUUUGCGGGGGGGAGCUGUCGMAGGUGG